GACGAACGCUGGCGGCGUGCUUAACACAUGCAAGUCGAACGGAAAGGCCCUGCUUUUGUGGGGUGCUCGAGUGGCGAACGGGUGAGUAACACGUGAGUAACCUGCCCUUGACUUUGGGAUAACUUCAGGAAACUGGGGCUAAUACCGGAUAGGAGCUCCUGCUGCAUGGUGGGGGUUGGAAAGUUUCGGCGGUUGGGGAUGGACUCGCGGCUUAUCAGCUUGUUGGUGGGGUAGUGGCUUACCAAGGCUUUGACGGGUAGCCGGCCUGAGAGGGUGACCGGCCACAUUGGGACUGAGAUACGGCCCAGACGCCUACGGGAGGCAGCAGUGGGGAAUAUUGCACAAUGGGCGGAAGCCUGAUGCAGCAACGCCGCGUGCGGGAUGACGGCCUUCGGGUUGUAAACCGCUUUCGCCUGUGACGAAGCGUGAGUGACGGUAAUGGGUAAAGAGGCACCGGCUAACUACGUG
rnacentral:rRNA from 1 species